AAUCUUUAACUUAAAAAUUAGGAAUUUUGACAAUUCGUAUCGUAGAUAUUUGAGAUAUGAAUAUAUAUAAAAUAAAUAUGUGGUAGGUAUCAUUGCAGAACAAAGCAUGAAGAUAAAAAGAUAAGGUAGAAGGAAUUGGUCACGUAAUUAUCUAACUAAGACUAGUUUGGAGGAAUUGUUGAUCACAUCGUUAUCUUAAUUAUUAGUCUGAAGGAAUGAUACGAAAUCAACAUUAUUAGUGAUGACUGGUGUUGAUACUCCACAAAAUUAUCCGACGAUUAUGAAUACUUUGCAUGAUCUAACAAUUUUUUAUUCAAAAUUGACAAGGAUGAUCUGCUCGUGUGUCAAUGGUGGGCUACAUGAAGAGAGUGGGGUUUGAGGUUGAAGUGGAGUUGGAGGCCUACUUUAGUGGCUGUAUUGCCCAUAUUAAAAUUCCCACGAUAAGACUUGUACCAUUCUUCUCUUACACGCAUAUUCAAUAUGAUUGCAACACUCAAUUUAAUGCAAUCAUAAAAGAUUAUGAAUUCGAUCAAAUUUAUAGCUUAAUUUUUACUUCUGCUUCUAAUUGAUUCUGUAA